GACGAACGCUGGCGGCGUGCCUAAUACAUGCAAGUCGAACGCAGUUGCGAACGGGUGAGUAACGCGUAGGUAACUGCCUCAUAGCGGGGGAUAACUAUUGGAAACGAUAGCUAAUACCGCAUACUGUGAGAUGGACCUGCGUUGUAUUAGCUAGUUGGUGAGGUAAAGGCUCACCAAGGCGACGAUACAUAGCCGACCUUAGAGGGUGGUCGGCCCCACGGGGACUGGGACACGGCCCAGGCUUCCACGGGAGGCAGCAGGUGGGAAUCUUCGGCAAUUGACGGAAGGCUGACCGAGCAACGGCGCGGGAGUGAAGAAGGUUUUCGGGUCGUAAAGCUCUGUUGUUAGAGAAGCGGUAACUACCCAGAAAGGGACGGCUAACUACGUGCCAGCAGCCGCGGUAAUUC
rnacentral:rRNA from 1 species